UACGUAGGGGGCAAGCGUUGUCCGGAUUUAUUGGGCGUAAAGCGCGUGUAGGCGGCCAGGUAGGUCUGCUGUGAAAACUCGAGGCUCAACCUCGAGAUGUCGGCAGAAACCCUCUGGCUAGAGUCCGGAAGAGGAGAGUGGAAUUCCCGGUGUAGCGGUGAAAUGCGCAGAUAUCGGGAAGAACACCCGUGGCGAAGGCGGCUCUCUGGGACGGUACUGGACGCUGAGACG
rnacentral:rRNA from 1 species